rnacentral:rRNA from 1 species
AACGAACGCUGGCGGCGCGCCUAACACAUGCAAGUCGAACGAGAAUCCGGGGCAACCCGGUAGUAAAGUGGCAAACGGGUGAGGAAUACAUGGGUAACCUACCCUUGAGAAGGGAAUAACCCGCCGAAAGGUGAGCUAAUACCCUAUACGCUAUCUUUUUUUCGAAAAGGAUAGGAAAGCCGGGUCGAGGACCUGGUACUCAAGGAGGGGCUCAUGUCCUAUCAGCUUGUUGGUGGGGUAACGGCCUACCAAGGCUACGACGGGUAGCUGGUCUGAGAGGAUGAUCAGCCACACUGGCACUGAGAUACGGGCCAGACUCCUACGGGAGGCAGCAGUGAGGAAUAUUGCGCAAUGGGCGAAAGCCUGACGCAGCGACGCCGCGUGGGGGAUGAAGGUUUUCGGAUUGUAAACCCCUUUCAUGAGGAAGGUAAAGUGGGUAACCACUUAGACGGUACCUCAAGAAGAAGCCACGGCUAACUUCGUG